rnacentral:rRNA from 1 species
CAGUAGCCGCGGUAAUACGUAUGUCGCGAGCGUUAUCCGGAAUUAUUGGGCAUAAAGGGCAUCUAGGCGGCCUGACAAGUCAGGGGUGAAAACCUGCGGCUCAACCGCAGGCCUGCCUUUGAAACUGUGAGGCUGGAGUACCGGAGAGGUGGACGGAACUGCACGAGUAGAGGUGAAAUUCGUAGAUAUGUGCAGGAAUGCCGAUGAUGAAGAUAGUUCACUGGACGGUAACUGACGCUGAAGUGCGAAAGCCGGGGGAGCGAACAGGAUUAGAUACCCGGGUAGUCCCUGUCUCUUAUAC